rnacentral:rRNA from 1 species
GACGAACGCUGGCGGCGUGCUUAACACAUGCAAGUCGAACGGAAAGGCCCUGCUUUUGUGGGGUGCUCGAGUGGCGAACGGGUGAGUAACACGUGAGUAACCUGCCCUUGACUUUGUGAUAACUUCAGGAAACUGGUGCUAAUACCGGAUAGGAGCUCCUGCUGCAUGGUGGGGGUUGGAAAGUUUCGGCGGUUGGGGAUGGACUCGCGGCUUAUCAGCUUGUUGGUGGGGUAGUGGCUUACCCAGGCUUUGACGGGUAGCCGGCCUGAGAGGUGGACCGGCCACAUUGGGACUGAGAUACGGCCCAGACUCCUACGGGAGGCAGCAGUGGGGAAUAUUGCACAAUGGGCGGAAGCCUGAUGCAGCAACGCCGCGUGCGGGAUGACGGCCUUCGGGUUGUAAACCGCUUUCGCCUGUGACGAAGCGUGAGUGACGGUAAUGGGUAAAGAAGCACCGGCUAACUACGUG